UCUGUCUUUUUCAAAUGCAGCCCUAAUCCUCUUCCAUAAAAGCGAAUGGGGGCGUUGUGCACAUGAUGUCAGUUCCUGUCUCAAACGAUUUUAGGUCAGAAAUGAAUGAACCAGGUUUGUGAGAAAGCUAGAGAACUCAAAAAGACAGUCUGAGCACGUGUCCUUAAACAUGUAUCCCGUGUGUGCGUUGGUGUGUGUGUGUACUGUUGGCGCCGCUCGUCCUCACUUCCAGACUUUGACGAUGCCGUCUCUGGACGAGGUGACGAUGAAGCCCUGUGUGGUCUGAAAGGUGGCAAUGUCAGUGAUGAUGUCAUGGUGUCCCACGGGGAGGGAUUCUGGGCCGCGGCGAGGUGAGUCCUCCACCACGCCGCUCUUCUGUUUACUGUGGAUCUCCUGCAGAAGACACGACUUGGAGGAAACAGGAUGACGGUGACACUGGCUCCUACUAGACUGAAGAGCUCUGCAGAUUCUGGAGCAGCUUUUCGAAAUCUACAAUUAAAGAUGUCUAAAAUAAAA